rnacentral:rRNA from 1 species
AUUGAACGCUGGCGGCAUGCCUUACACAUGCAAGUCGAACGGCAGCACGGAAGCUUGCUCCUGGUGGCGAGUGGCGAACGGGUGAGUAAUACAUCGGAACGUACCCAGUAGUGGGGGAUAACGCACCGAAAGGUGCGCUAAUACCGCAUACGACCUACGGGUGAAAGCGGGGGACCGUAAGGCCUCGCGCUAUUGGAGCGGCCGAUGUCUGAUUAGCUAGUUGGCGGGGUAAAAGCCCACCAAGGCGACGAUCAGUAGCUGGUCUGAGAGGACGAUCAGCCACCCUGGGACUGAGACACGGCCCAGACUCCUACGGGAGGCAGCAGUGGGGAAUUUUGGACAAUGGGGGCAACCCUGAUCCAGCAAUGCCGCGUGUGCGAAGAAGGCCUUCGGGUUGUAAAGCACUUUUGUCAGGGAAGAAAUCUUUCAGGCUAAUACCCUUGGAAGGAUGACGGUACCUGAAGAAUAAGCACCGGCUAACUACGUGCCAGCCGCCGCAGUAA